CGAAAGUUACGCUAAUACCGCAUAUGCCUGGAGGGGAAAGCGGGGGAUUCGCAAGAACCUCGCGUUUUCGGAGCGGCCGAUAUCGGAUUAGCUAGUAGGUGAGGUAAAGGCUCACCUAGGCGACGAUCCGUAGCUGGUCUGAGAGGACGACCAGCCACACUGGAACUGAGACACGGUCCAGACUCCUACGGGAGGCAGCAGUGGGGAAUUUUGGACAAUGGGCGCAAGCCUGAUCCAGCCAUGCCGCGUGAGUGAAGAAGGCCUUCGGGUUGUAAAGCUCUUUCAGCCGGAAAGAAAACGCACAGGUUAAUAACCCGUGUAGAUGACGGUACCUGGAGAAGAAGCACCGGCUAACUACGUG
rnacentral:rRNA from 1 species